rnacentral:rRNA from 1 species
GAUGAACGCUAGCGGCAGGCCUAAUACAUGCAAGUCGGACGGGAUUGAGGAGCUUGCUCCUCAUGAGAGUGGCGCACGGGUGCGUAACACGUAUGUAACCUACCUUAAUCAGGGGGAUAGCCGCUCGAAAGAGAGAUUAACAACGCAUAAAAUCACACUAUGGCAUCAUAGAAGGAUAAAAUAUUUAUAGGAUUAAGCUGGGCAGGCGGAAAGUUAGCUAGUUGGUAAGGUAACGGCGUACCCAGGCUACGAUGUUUAGGGGAUCUGAUAGGAUGGCCCCCCACACGGGUGCUGAGACACGGACCAGACUCCUACGGGAGGCAGCAGUAAGGAAGAUUGGUCAAUGGGCGAAAGCCUGAACCAGCCAUGCCGCGUGCAGGAAGACGGCCCUACGGGUUGUAAACUGCUUUUAUACGGGAAUAAACCUACUUACGUGUAAGUAGCUGAAUGUACUGUAAGAAUAAGGAUCGGCUAACUCCGUGCCAGCAGCCGCAGUAAUAC